CACAAGCAUUACUGGAUCAUAUGAGGCUAACGCUGUACAGUAAUUUAGGACAUGUAGCCUAUUAGAGUCGUUAUGGAACAGACCACACGUAAGCAGGUUAAACCUGGAGCACGCUGCACAACAACUGGACUUGUCAUCACAGUUCCCUGAUUAGUGAGGUUUUUUUGCAUAAAGGCUCUCCAAAGCUGUUAUGUUAUUAUUCAUAAAUACUUUCCUAAACCUUAAUAAUAUACAAUAUCAGAAUAUUUUUCUACCAAUUGUUACUGAAAAAGAAAACAAAUUCUAGUUAAAAGGUACAAAAGGCAUAGAUUUAGAUACAUGUACUGAAAAUCCUAUUGAAUGAAAACUCCACGAGAAAACCGGUUGGCCAGCACUUUCCAGCGAUUUAAUAAAUGUUAACCACGCCUGCGAAGCCCAUUACGCAUCUGCGUAAGGUAAGUCUGAUAUCCAACUAUUGAGAAGAGUGUAGGAAAGGAGUACAUUUCCUAAGUCUGAAUCGGGCCCCUAGUGGCUGUGGCACCAAGCGACAAACACACACAACAUGCAGGCACGUACACACACACUAACAAAUAUGUACACACACGUACACUGGCAGAACUGUCAAAUGGCAGAGGCUGAUAAGAUCACACACACAUUUAGGUCACAGCUGGGUCACUUACAAUACAGGCCCAGGUCACAUGUGGCUCUAUACCUCCGUGGCUAAUGCAGUUACAGAGUGAGCAGGGACAGACUAUGUCAUGGUGUUUUAUUAAUAAAAUCAACCAAGGUGUGACAUUAAAGGGCUCAAGGUGAAACAUUACAGGGAAUCAAAUGAGACUACCGGGGGGAAGGGGGAAUCAGAGUCGCUAGGCAGAAAGACUUGGGAAGUGAGACUUUAACAGGGCUGUUUUGAAAAGGGCAUAGGUAUCAGCCUAUAGGUAGAGCAGGUAUCAGCCUAUAGGUAGAGCAGGAAUCAGCCUAUAGGUAGAGCAGGAAUCAGCCUAUAGGUAGAGCAGGAAUCAGCCUAUAGGUAGAGCAGGAAUCAGCCUAUAGGUAGAGCAGGAAUCAGCCUAUAGGUAGAGCAGGAAUCAGCCUAUAGGUAGGCCAGGAAUCAGCCUAUAGGUAGAGCAGGAAUCAGCCUAUAGGUAGAGCAGGAAUCAGCCUAUAGGUAGAGCAGGAAUCAGCCUAUAGGUAGAGCAGGAAUCAGCCUAUAGGUAGAGCAGGAAUCAGCCUAUAGGUAGAGCAGGAAUCAGCCUAUAGGUAGAGCAGGAAUCAGCCUAUAGGUAGAGCAGGAAUCAGCCUAUAGGUAGAGCAGGAAUCAGCCUAUAGGUAGAGCAGGAAUCAGCCUAUAGGUAGGCCAGGAAUCAGCCUAUAGGUAGGCCAGGAAUCAGCCUAUAGGUAGAGCAGGAAUCAGCCUAUAGGUAGGCCAGGAAUCAGCCUAUAGGUAGGCCAGGAAUCAGCCUAUAGGUAGAGCAGGAAUCAGCCUAUAGGUAGGCCAGGAAUCAGCCUAUAGGUAGGCCAGGAAUCAGCCUAUAGGUAGGCCAGGAAUCAGCCUAUAGGUAGAGCAGGAAUCAGCCUAUAGGUAGGCCAGGAAUCAGCCUAUAGGUAGGCCAGGAAUCAGCCUAUAGGUAGGCCAGGAAUCAGCCUAUAGGUAGGCCAGGAAUCAGCCUAUAGGUAGGCCAGGAAUCAGCCUAUAGGUAGGCCAGGAAUCAGCCUAUAGGUAGAGCAGGAAUCAGCCUAUAGGUAGGCCAGGAAUCAGCCUAUAGGUAGAGCAGGAAUCAGCCUAUAGGUAGAGCAGGAAUCAGCCUAUAGGUAGGUCAGGAAUCAGCCUAUAGGUAGAGCAGGAAUCAGCCUAUAGGUAGGUCAGGAAUCAGCCUAUAGGUAGAGCAGGAAUCAGCCUAUAGGUAGGUCAGGAAUCAGCCUAUAGGUAGGGCAGGAAUCAGCCUAUAGGUAGAGCAGGAAUCAGCCUAUAGGUAGGUCAGGAAUCAGCCUAUAGGUAGAGCAGGAAUCAACCUACAGGUAGAGCAGGAAUCAGCCUAUAGGUAGAGCAGGAAAAUAUUUCUGGAACGAUCUGGCCUGAGGGACACACACCUUCAAGGUCAUGUCUCUCUCUGUCAUCGUCAAGACGUGGUUGACCUAGCAACUGACACAAGAAGCAGUAACAGGAGGUAGAAACAUCCCCCCGGCAAGCGGACCGCCGUCCUCAUCCUUCCUGUCCAGUCCUGUACCCUUGUGAGUCUGACGGAUGCUCCGAGGCAGACAAAAGAGACCGAGAGAGAGGGGGCAUUUUGGUUCCUGUUUGAACCAUUACCUGUC